UACGGAGGGUGCGAGCGUUGUCCGGAAUCAUUGGGCGUAAAGGGCGCGUAGGUGGCCCGGUCAGUCUUUGGUGAAAGCGCGGGGCUCAACCCUGCGUCGGCCAGGGAUACUGCCGCGGCUCGAGCACUGUAGAGGCAGGCGGAAUUCCGGGUGUAGCGGUGGAAUGCGUAGAGAUCCGGAAGAACACCGGUGGCGAAGGCGGCCGCUGGGCAGUUAGCUGACACUGAGGCGCGACAGCGUGGGGAGCAAACAGGG
rnacentral:rRNA from 1 species